GGGGAGGAGACCGGAGGCGAGGGACAGGCGGAGCAGGCAGGAGUCGGGAGAAAUGUUGAGUCAGUGUGUGUGAGGAGGACGGAGGUAACUGCUGGUCUCGCUGGAUUCUCUCACUGAACAGGUGCACGGCGCUUCCGCCGCUGUCCUCUGCGGGUGUCCAAACGUUUACGCGGAGCUGCCCCGGUGAGCUCCGACGCACCGGUGACUCACACAAGGAGGAGGUUGGGCCUCUCCAAAGCUACCAGGAAGCUUCUCAGCACACACUUUCUGUCUGAUGACAAGUCUCAGCGCUCGACACCAGGAUUUGGAAUUUUUGUUUAACCAAAAGAAAAAACAUUCUUUCUUGAAAUGCGACAACGUCUUGCAGUCGUUACAGUCCUGUAGGGUUUAAAGACUCAUCAUCGCUGUGUGCUCUGUCACCAAGGUGUAAACAGAACUACAGAGCUGCAGCUGAGGGGCACUGGUAGCCCUGAAUAAUCGCCCCUCGAUUGAAGGCGCCAAAAAGGCUUUUUCUUGGAUUGUCAGGACAUUAUUAAAGGAGUGUACUGAGACUGAAACUUUAACCAAAAUAACACCCAGGAGGAAGCAGUGAAGGAGAAAAGAGGGCUGGAAGAGGAAGGAAUAGAGGAGACUGAAGGGCAGAUGGCUUCACUGCUCGAAAACACAAACAGCUGGAUGAAUAAAACAUUUGAGUAGAGAGCGAGUCGUGACAUCUGGCUGAGGAGUGAGUGACUCGCGUUGCCGCUCUCCUUCUUUCUCCUUGUUCACUUCACUCUUUUCACUGACCUACAUCCUUGUCUUCUUCACCCCCUCCCAUCCAUCUUUCUUUU
ensembl:lncRNA